AACGCUGGCGGUAGGUUUUAUACAUGCAAGUCGAGCGGUAACAGACAUUUUUGAUUCAGCUUGCUGAAUCUUGUGCUGACGAGCGGCGAACGGGUGAGUAACGCGUAGGAAUCUGCCCAGUAGCGGGGGAUAGCCCGAGGAAACUCGGAUUAAUACCGCAUACGCCCUAAGGGGGAAAGAAGGCCUCUCCUUGGAAGCUUUCACUAUUGGAUGAGCCUGCGUAAGAUUAGUUUGUUGGUGAGGUAAUGGCUCACCAAGGCGACGAUCUUUAGCUGGUCUGAGAGGACGACCAGCCACAUUGGGACUGAGACACGGCCCAGACUCCUACGGGAGGCAGCAGUAAAGAAUCUUGGACAAUGGGGGAAACCCUGAUCCAGCCAUACCGCGUGUGUGAAGAAGGCCUUAGGGUUGUAAAGCACUUUAAGCAACCAGGAAGAAAAGUAAGUUAAUACCUUAUUUUUUUGACAUUAAUUGCAGAAUAAGUACCGGCUAACUCCGUGCCAGCAGCCGCGGUAAUACGGAGGGUACAAGCGUUAAUCGGAAUUACUGGGCGUAAAGCGCGCGUAGGCGGCUAAGCAAGUUGGGUGUGAAAGCCCAGGGCUCAACCCUGGAACUGCAUUCAAAACUAUUUAGCUAGAGUACGAGAGAGGAGAGUAGAAUUUCUGGUGUAGCGGUGAAAUGCGUAGAUAUCAGAAGGAAUACCAAUGGCGAAGGCAGCUCUCUGGAUCGUCACUGACGCUAAGGUGCGAAAGCGUGGGUAGCAAACAGGAUUAGAUACCCUGGUAGUCCACGCCGUAAACGAUGAGAACUAGCCGUUGGGAGGGAUUAACCUUUCAGUGGCGCAGCUNACGCAUUAAGUUCUCCGCCUGGGGACUA
rnacentral:rRNA from 1 species